rnacentral:lncRNA from 1 species
ACUUAGUUUUUUCAAAAUUUUUGGGAAUCAUUGUAACGACCCAGCCCACUAGCAAUAAUAACUCGUUGGGCCCAAACACCAGCCCAAAAAUGCUUAAGCCCAGUUAUUAUUACUAGUGUCUAAGUCUCUUAUAAACCCAAUGACAACCCCUUUCCCAUCCGAUGUGGGACUAUGUCACAGACUCCCCCCGUUAAGGCCCUGACGUCCUCGUCAGUUCAAUCACACACACAGCCCAAGAUCACCAGGCGAUGUGAGACUCGUCUCGCUAGCCUGUCAUCCAGACCCUGACUCAGCCGAGACUCGCCACACAUGUCCAGCUGGUAAACUGGCUCUGAUACCAAAUGUAACGACCCAGCCCACUAGCAACAAUAACUCGUUGGGCCCAAACCACCAGCCAAAAAUGCUUAAGCCCAGUUAUUAUUACUAGUGUCUACUAAGUCUCUUAUAAACCCAAUGACAACCCCUUUUCCAUCCGAUGU